CGGCGAGUGAAGCGGGAAGAGCUCAAGCUUAAAAUCUCCGUGCAAGUUUUGCGCGGCGAAUUGUAGUCUAUAGAGGCGUGAUCAGUGUGGGCGCUUGGGGCAAGUUCCUUGGAAGAGGACAGCAUGGAGGGUGAUACUCCCGUUCAUCCCUGAGUUGCUCGUGCGUACGAUCCGUUUUCUUUGAGUCGCGUUGUUUGGGAAUGCAGCGCAAAGUAGGUGGUAAAUUCCAUCUAAAGCUAAAUAUUGGUGCGAGACCGAUAGCGAACAAGUACCGUGAGGGAAAGAUGAAAAGAACUUUGAAAAGAGAGUUAAAGAGUACCUGAAACUGCUGAAAGGGAACCGAAUCGUUUCCAGUGUCUAUAAUCCGUGGUAUAUUUCAUUGGCGAGUGUGUGCGUGCGUGUGCUGUGGCAGCGGCUUUUUUGGCUGCGCUCGGCGUGUGUGCUGUGUGUGCUUGCUGGUGCCCUGUGCUGCGGUGGGACGUCAAGGUCAGUUCGUAUGCUGCGGGAAAUGGCCGCCGAGGAGGUAGGGCUUACGCUUGCGUUUGUCUGUUAUAUCUUGGUGGACGAGUAGUCGCGGUUGGGACUGAGGUGCCUACAACGUGUUUUUGAGUGGGCCUGUGUCUCUGUGUGCGCCGUGUGCGGAUAGCUUGCUAUGCGUGUGUGGUUGUGUGUGGAUUGAUGUGGGUUUUAACUUGUUGCCGUUCGGGACGUUGACGAAAUGGAGCGAUUUGACCCGUCUUGAAACACGGACCAAGGAGUCUAACAUGUGUGCAAGUGUUAGGGUGUGGAAACCCCAGCGCGAAAUGAAAGUGAAGGGCAGCGUAAGUUGUCUGAGGUAGGAAAUGCUGCGGGCUUCGGUCUGCGGUGUGGCACUAUCGACCGAUCAUGAACCUUCGUGGUGAAAGAUUUGAGUUUGAGCACAUAUGUUGGUACCCGAAAGAUGGUGAACUAUGCCUGAGUAGGGUGAAGCCAGGGGAAACUCUGGUGGAAGCUCGUAGCGAUUCUGACGUGCAAAUCGAUCGUCAAACUU
rnacentral:rRNA from 1 species